GGGGCUAUAGCUCAGUCGGUUAGAGCGCACCCCUGAUAAGGGUGAGGUCGCAGGUUCGACUCCUGCUAGCCCCA
rnacentral:tRNA from 1 species